rnacentral:rRNA from 1 species
CGGGUUUGAACGUAGGGAGACAGGGGUGGAAACAUUCUAUUCAGCAAUGACUGCCUACGAGGUGCUGCAUGGUUGUCGUCAGCUCGUGCCGUGAGGUGUCGGCUUAAGUGCCAUAACGAGCGCAACCCUUAUUUCCAGUUACUAACAGGUCAAGCUGAGGACUCUGGAGAGACUGCCAGCGUAAGCUGUGAGGAAGGUGGGGAUGACGUCAAAUCAGCACGGCCCUUACAUCCGGGG